UGGGGAAUAUUGCACAAUGGGCGCAAGCCUGAUGCAGCAACGCCGCGUGAGGGACGACGGCCUUCGGGUUGUAAACCUCUUUUGGCAGGGAAGAAGCGAAAGUGACGGUACCUGCAGAAAAAGCACCGGCUAACUACGUGCCAGCAGCCGCGGUGAUACGUAGGGUGCACGCGUUGUCCGGAAUCAUUGGGCGUAAAGAGCUCGUAGGCGGUUUGUCGCGUCUGCUGUGAAAACCCGAGGCUCAACCUCGGGCCUGCAGUGGGUACGGGCAAACUAGAGUGCGGUAGGGGGGAUUGGAACUCCUGGUGUAGCUGUGGAAUGCGCAGGUAACAGGAGGAACACCGAUGGCGAAGGCAGAUCGCUGGGCCGUAACUGACGCUGAUGAGCGAAAGCAUGGGGAG
rnacentral:rRNA from 1 species